rnacentral:lncRNA from 1 species
AGUGAGCUACUGUGCAGUGAGGCUGCAGUGAUUGUGCCACUGCACUCCAGCCUAGGCAACAGAGUGAGACCCCGUCUCAAAAAAAAAAAAAAAAAAANNNNNNNNNNNNACACACACACACACACACAAAAGGAGGGAAUGUAAGGGAAUGUAAAUUCAUGGGAAAUACUGUGAAGAAACAAAAUAGGAUGUUGUGAUGGAAGGGGUCAGGGGUGGGGUCUAAUUGAGAAUGGACAGAGAAGGAAAGGCUUACUGAGGAGGUAACUCCUGAAGCCAGGAAAGCCAGUAAAACACAGCGAGUCUAACAAAAUGCCCAACCUGAUUUUGAAGAACUAGUUGAUGAUGGUGGAAAAUGUCACCUCCGGCCAGCCUGGGCAAUGUUCAUAAAUGGCUGGUGCUCAGGACCACAACUUGGAGCAGGGUCAUUUGCUGCUGUUUUUAUGAUCACACAACUACUAAAAACCUGUCUACAGUCUGCAGGCAGGGCACGGUGGCUCACGCCUGUAAUCCCAGCACUUUGGGAGGCCGAGGCGGGCGGAUCACGAGGUCAGGAGAUCGAGACCAUCCUGGCUAACAUGGUGAAACCCUGUCUCUGCUAAAAAAAUACAAAAAAUCAGCCGGGCGUUGUGGCGGGAGCCUGUAGUCCCAGUUACUCAGGAGGCUGAGGCAGGAGAAUGGCGUGAACCUGGGAGGCAGAGCUUGCAGUGAGCGGAGAUCGUGCCACUGCACUCCAGCCUGGGUGANNNNNNNNNNNNNNNAUAAAAAAAAAAAAAAAAAAAAACACCUCUCUGCAAUCUGCAAAGCACUUUAAAUAUUUGAAGUGGAAGCGAAUUCAGAGACAGUGAACUUAAUCUCUUUGUUUGCCACAUGAAGAAAUGGUUAUGGCCCUGGUUGGCUUUGCAUCCACGUGUUCAUUCCAUAGACAUCCUCUGAGUUCUUGCCUUGUGCACAUGGUGGGCAGGGAACCACAGGGGAUACAGAAAUAAACAAAAUUUGAAAGGCCUUCAAGGAGAUCACAGUCUAGCAGGGAACACAUUAUCUGAGCCACAUAGGAGGAAAAAAGUGCUGAAAGCAGUCAUCCCCAGACCCCACCCAGAACUAGCAAGGGGCAAGCCAGAACUAGAAUCCUGGACUCCAGACUUCUCAUCUGGGAGUUUUUUGUCUUUCUUUCUUUCUUUCUUUCUUUCUUUCUUUCUUUCUUCCUUCCUUCCUUCCUUCCUUUCUUUCCUUCCUUCCUUCAUUCCUUCUCAUCUGGGAUUUUUUUGUCUUUCUUUCUUUCUUUCUUUCUUUCCUUCUUUCUUUCUUUCUUUCCUUCUUUCUCUUCCUAAGUCCUGAGUAUUGUUGUUGGGUCUCUCAUGGCUAGACUGUCACACGGAGACAAUUCGCACCGCUUUACUCUGGGUUCUGCCAAGCUGUAGGUCUUCCUCCCCACUCCAGGAAUUUCACAAAUAAAUCACUGAGAACAGAGCCUGCCUCACAACAAACAGCACAUGGGUUUCUGCUCAGCCUCUGUGGCCUUGGACCAGCUUCUGGGAAAGAGCCCCUGCCUGGCUACAGGCGCAAACACAGCCCUGCCUUUCACAAACAUUCAAUGGUGAGAGGUCAGACCUUGGAGCCACAAGUCCGUGGGAGGCCCCUGCACACAGGCGGAGCUGGGAGUGACCUCCAGCUCACAGCUGGUAAGGAGAUGGGGGCCUCAGCCAUAUAGUGCA